rnacentral:rRNA from 1 species
UGGCCAGACUCCUACGGGAGGCAGCAGUGAGGAAUAUUGGUCAAUGGGCGCGAGCCUGAACCAGCCAAGUCGCGUGAGGGAAGACGGUCCUAUGGAUUGUAAACCUCUUUUGUCGGGGAGCAAAAGACGCCACGUGUGGCGUUCCGAGAGUACCCGAAGAAAAAGCAUCGGCUAACUCCGUGCCAGCAGCCGCGGUAAUACGGAGGAUGCGAGCGUUAUCCGGAUUUAUUGGGUUUAAAGGGAGCGUAGGCCGGCUUUUAAGUCAGCUGUGAAAGUCCGCGGCUCAACCGUGGAAUUGCAGUUGAAACUGGAGGCCUUGAGUGCACACAGGGAUGCCGGAAUUCAUGGUGUAGCGGUGAAAUGCUUAGAUAUCAUGAAGAACUCCGAUCGCGAAGGCAAGUGUCCGGGGUGCAACUGACGCUGAGGCUCGAAAGUGCGGGUAUCAAACAGGAUUAGAUACCCGGGUAA